AUUGAACGCUGGCGGCAGGCCUAACACAUGCAAGUCGAACGGUAACAGGAAGAAGCUUGCUUCUUUGCUGACGAGUGGCGGACGGGUGAGUAAUGUCUGGGAAACUGCCUGAUGGAGGGGGAUAACUACUGGAAACGGUAGCUAAUACCGCAUAACGUCGCAAGCCCAAAGAGGGGGACCUUCGGGCCUCUUGCCAUCGGAUGUGCCCAGAUGGGAUUAGCUAGUAGGUGGGGUAACGGCUCACCUAGGCGACGAUCCCUAGCUGGUCUGAGAGGAUGACCAGCCACACUGGAACUGAGACACGGUCCAGACUCCUACGGGAGGCAGCAGUGGGGAAUAUUGCACAAUGGGCGAAAGCCUGAUGCAGCCAUGCCGCGUGUAUGAAGAAGGCCUUCGGGUUGUAAAGUACUUUCAGCGGGGAGGAAGGGAGUAAAGUUAAUACCUUUGCUCAUUGACGUUACCCGCAGAAGAAGCACCGGCUAACUCCGUG
rnacentral:rRNA from 1 species